rnacentral:rRNA from 1 species
UACCCGCGGCCCGAGUGGUGCUCAUUAUUAUUGAGCCUAAAGCGUCCGUAGCUGGCCGGGCAAAUCUCCGGGUAAAUCGGGCGGCUCAACCGUCCGAAUUCCGGAGACACUGCUCGGCUUGAGAUCGGGAGAGGGAGAAGGUACUCCCUGGGUAGGGGUAAAAUGCGGUAAUCCGGGGGGGACUACCAGUGGCGAAGGCGUUCUCCUAGAACGAAUCUGACAGUGAGGGACGAAGCCGUAGGGCGCAAACGGG